AUGUCCUCCUCUAGCACGGCCAUCUUCUCCGGCCUGAAUAAGAAUACCUCUGAACCACUCUCCCGCACCAAUUAUGUCCUAUGUCGCGCCCAGGCUAGAUCACAGAUCAUGGGCGUUGGCCUCUUUGGCUAUCUCGACCAGACUCCCCAAGAACCCUCCAAAACCAUCACAACCAAGAACGCCGAAGGGAAGGAUCAGGUUGUCCCCAACCCUUCCUACUCCCCAUGGCUUAUCCAAGAUCAGCAAAGAGUUGCAUACCUCCUUCGAAACCUAUCCAAAGAAGUCCUCAUCCAAGUUGCCUCCCUCGAGACGUCACAUGCGAUCUGGCAUGCAUUGGUAAACAUGUUCUCUGCUGUGUCCUUGUCUUGCGUCAACAACAUCUGA
rnacentral:rRNA from 1 species